AAACGCGCACAAUGCCACAUUUAAACAGGGAUACAUGCAGCUAAAUUAGAGCUUUAUUAUACCAGCGUGCAUUAAAAUGAUGUAGCUGAAGUGUGCGAGCCGCACUGUUAAAGGCGAGAAAUAGAUAUACAUUGUUUACCAGCAGGCCGGUAGUAUUUCUCGUCAUAAAAUAGUAUAAAUAUUAAUAUAUGUAUUUAAAUAAAAACUACGAGGACAUCUGCUCACUUACACCGUUGCAAUUUAAAGAUAGUCUGCAGUGUAGAGGAUUUAGUGAAAUUUAAUUUAGGCUUAAUGUAGCUGAAAUUCCUGCUCCUGCUGUAGCACAAUAAAAGUUCGUGUCCCUUUAAGGUUAUGAGGCAAUCUAUAAAAGGAUGCUAAUUAAUUACUAUUACCAGGUGCGUCAAACACUGAUUAAGGGAAAGAAAUGAGCCAAUUAGUUCCCAGCACGCGCCCGUGGCGGCAGUUCUGCACGGAAACGCGACUAAACACGCAGCUACAAUCUGUUUCCACCCGGGGAAAAAAAGGGUACAAUAUACAGAUACAAGUACUGUAUAUAAGUAUAAACAGUGAGUUAUAUCACUGCAUGUCCGAAACGAGCAGGAACCCGCCGCCUUGCCUCGAAUGAAGCCAACCAGUCUUGAAAUGAAGAAAGCCUUUACCAAGUGGUCCAGAUGACAUGUCGCGGUAAGACAACUCAACAGAAAGUUGUGAAACCACUGCAGUUCGUCAGCAGCGGGCUUGUGCUGCCCCCUAGUGGAGAGGCGGCGUUCAUUCCGGAUCUGGACAGCAAUGCUGCUGAUGGAGCCACAGAGUCAAAGGUCAACAAGGAGUCCAGAAGACAGCCUCUGUCACAGAUGGACUUUUCAUAACAGC